UUGCUUUCUUCUCCUCCUUUUGCUUCUUCUCCUGUUCUCUCCAUUUGUCCAUCUCCUCAAGCAGAUCUGGUGGCAAAACGGGACGGAAACUCGGAAGCUCUGCAGCAAACAAUAAGG
rnacentral:ribozyme from 10 species